CCAUCAUCAAAGACCCAAACAAAAAAAAACCUAGCGCCGCCUUGGUUUUCCACCAUAUCCGCCCGGCGGCACCACCCCCAUAUCACCCCAAAUUAACACCCCAAAAUCCCCAUGGUUCCCUCUCCCCAUAUCUCUAACUCUUUUCCCUCGAAUCUAUCCCGAAUCCCUUGAAUCUUAAAUCUGAAGUCUGAACCCUAAAAGGCCUAUUCUCGAAAUUGGUUGCAUGCAAGGUUAUGUCUCGAGUUUUCUGAGUUUUUCAAGGCCAACUUGCCACAAAAUAAUGAUGGUCGCUGGUUCUUGAAAAGGAACAAGCGAUUAACAUUAUCUUGGGUUAAGUUGGAAUAUCAAUAUCGAUUCCGAGUCUAUUUUGUAAGUUUCUACAUUUCCUUUUUGUUUCGUUUGUUUUUUUUGCAUUAUUUCACAUCUGUUCUUCUAUCGUCUAUUAUUUCUUUAGAUUUAGGUCUCUUCUGUUAAAUUUGUUGAAUUUGUUUAUCUUUUGAUUUUAGGUUCUUCUUUGUUUUGUUUUCUUUUAGAAUUUUCAAUAAUUUUGUUGGUUUGUGCAUUCUACAUGUUUUAACUUCUGAUUUCUGUUUCAGUCGAUAACUAAUCUAGUUAAAUUUGGUGUUAAUUUGAUAAUCUAGUUAAUUCUAACCCAUUUAUAAGUCAUUCAUUUAGUCUAGAUUUUUAAUUUGUUUGAAAUCUUUUAAGUGCUGCUUUACUCUGCCUUCCAUGAGAUUAUAGAAUGCUUUGGUUUAUUUUGUUUGGGCUUUGGGUUUCUCACCCAUUUGCAAAAAGAAAGGCAGUCCGUUCAUUUAGUUAAGUCAUUGGGUCAACUUGACCCAUAGAUUUCAGGGUAAAAACAGGGAUCCUAAGGGGUAGUUUAGGAAUUGUAGGUGGGGCAAAUCUCUUGUAACUGAAUAGGAAGCUUCCUAGAAGCUGGGAUUGGGACUAAAGUGAAAACUCGAUUUUUAAAUUAAGGGUAUGUGAGCAAAAAUUAGAAUUUAAAAGGGUAGGAGUGCAAAUCUGAAUCCCUUUUAUGCUGCCCUAAGACUUGCCUAUAAAGGGGUCUUUCCUUCUUUAGCAAGUCAGAAUUGAGGGAUUAAAAAGAAUACUAAAAGGCAAAACGGCUGAGAAAAGUUAUUCUGAAAACACAUUGAGAUUUCUGCAUCUUUUGGGGUGUGAAUUGGUUCUGAAUCAGCUCACUAAUCUUGAAUUUCAACUGAAAUUCAAAACCUUCAAAGAAUUCUUGCUUUAUCUGGGUGAAAAAUGGUUUAAAGAGCUGAAAUUGUUGGAUCUCUAGAAGCUGUUUGAUUUGGUUUUACUGCUGAUCUCUGCUGCUAUACUUGCUGGCUUGGUCUUGCUUUAAGUUGAUUCUCAAAACUCUUGUUUGUCUUUGUUGUAACCAGGUACACAUUCGACUUCAAAUGACAUAUUGAAAUGGGAACGAGCAUGCUGAUGGUACCAUGUUUUAUGGCAGUAUAUGUUAAAUUAUUUGGUUCUGUGUUCAUGUAGUCCUGUUGCAUGGUUGUGUGUUCAUUAAGUUAUUAUUAAAGCAUUUGUAAAGCGGAUGAGUAAUUUGGUCUAGUAUGGUUUGAGUUAUGGGCUAAUAAGAAUGCUGUUAGAUACAUUUAGCCAUGCUUUUGGUACUAUUAGUUCUAAUGUGAGAUUGUGUUCAGAAGUUAGACAUGUGAGUUUCAUUACCUAACUUGAGGUUGCUUACCUCUUCUAGAUGUUAGUUUAGGUGUUUGAACGAAUUCAGUGCACGAUAUUGUAUUUGAUAGCUGAUCCGAAUGGCUGUAAUAUUUCACUGAAGCCGCUGAAUGUGUUAGUUUAAAUAUUUAUUAU
rnacentral:lncRNA from 1 species